UUCAAAAAUCAAAACACUGAUAUUAUCUUUUUUUUUUUUUAAGGUAACUUACAAGAUUAAAAUUAAAUUUGACGAUGAUUCUGAACAAAUAUGCUGUUUAUUUGAGGUAUGCCAUUUUGAAGACUGAGACCAUGGAAUUUUGUCCUUGAGGAUAAAUCUUUGUGAUAGUCUGUAUUUUGUAUAGCAAGAAUAUGAAUCCUGAAGCUGAAUUACCUAAGGGGCCUCUACAGUGAAGUGAAAUAGAUGUUGGUGGAAGCAUUUAGUAAGUUUUUACUCAAUUUACAUGUUUAAUCUGUUUUUUAAGUUUAAAUAUGACUUUGGAAAUUUUAAGUAAAUGAGUCUAUAAAAACAGAUUUAGUGAGAUUCAAAACAGUACAAAAAUAGACCCAUAUGGUUAGGUGUGUACCAAGUUUAUUAAAAUCUUAUUAAUUUACUCCAACCUUUUAUUACUUUCUGCUUUUCUAACUUAGGUUCAGGCAAAGUUUAAAUG
rnacentral:lncRNA from 1 species